rnacentral:rRNA from 1 species
GAUGAACGCUGGCGGCGUGCCUAAUACAUGCAAGUCGAGCGAACAGACGAGGAGCUUGCUCCUCUCACGUUAGCGGCGGACGGGUGAGUAACACGUGGAUAACCUACCUAUAAGACUGGGAUAACUUCGGGAAACCGGAGCUAAUACCGGAUAAUAUAUUGAACCGCAUGGUUCAAUAGUGAAAUACGGUUUUGCUGUCACUUAUAGAUGGAUCCGCGCCGCAUUAGCUAGUUGGUAAGGUAACGGCUUACCAAGGCGACGAUGCGUAGCCGACCUGAGAGGGGGAUCGGCCACACUGGAACUGAGACACGGUCCAGACUCCUACGGGAGGCAGCAGUAGGGAAUCUUCCGCAAUGGGCGAAAGCCUGACGGAGCAACGCCGCGUGAGUGAUGAAGGUCUUCGGAUCGUAAAACUCUGUUAUUAGGGAAGAACAAAUGUGUAAGUAACUAUGCACGUCUUGACGGUACCUAAUCAGAAAGCCACGGCUAACUACGUG